AUGUACCGAUCUGUCAUUUAUUACAGGAAGAAACAGCAAGCUGAAUCGCCAAGUCCACCAUUGGGGCAGAAAGCUUUUCAAACCAAAGGAGAUCUCACAGCUCAAACUGUGUCUGGACCCCUUCUCAUCCCCACUCAAAAUGACUCUUCUCCUGGUGACCAAGGAGGUCGAUACAAACGGUAUGGUUGUUCACCCACACGUGUACGAUUUGAGGAUGAAUCGGAGAAGGAGGCAGAAUCUCGGUACUUGGAUAGAGUGAGACAGCGAAGCAGGCCUGGGGCCUUUAAGUCCAAAAGUAAGGAAAGUAAUACAGAUUCUAGCAGUAGUGGUUCUGAGAGGAGCAGAAGCCACAGAAGUGUCUCCAUGCCUCCCUCACAGAAGCAAGAAGGUAAGAGUGUCAGCGGAGAAACCAAAACAGUAGUUAAAGAAAUAAUAGUGCUGGUGAAGAAAUGUGAAUCAUGUGGGACUGUAGUGAGAGAGCCUCAGCCACUUAUAUCACCUUCAGAUACACAAAACACUGAAUCACAGCACCCUGGGAACCCUGACGACCCACGGGGGAAAACAGUUCCUCGCUGGGUCCCUCCAAACAAGCCAGAGAUGAGCACUCGUCCUAAAGCUCCUCUAACUGUCACUUUUGCUGGAGCGUAUGUGCUGGGGGAAAAUAAGGAGAGUAGUACAGGGUGGAAGUCAUCAGGUUUCGGGAAACUUAGAAGAAGGAGUAGAAAAGGAGAAAGCCGUCUGGAAUCUGGCCAUGGCCCCUACGGUCCAUCAUGGGCUCAGCGGCGUAACUCUAACCCCAGGAACAGGGUCAACGUGAGCCAAGCUGUUUCCUUUGCCCCUGGCAGCCCUAUAGCUCCUGAGCCAUGUUUGCUAGUCGCAUCUGGUGGACUAAGGGAAUCACCAACCCCACUGCCCAUAAAAUCAGCCCUGAAAUCAAGCUCAAGGAAUCGCUCUGCUGCAGGUCAGUCCACAGUUCAGUUCCAGAUGACCCCAAACCAGGGAGUUGAUGGUGGAUCUCCACAUUCAACUCUGCUGGACUCCCCAGAGGGAAAAACAGAGUCCCCCAUCACUUUUGCUCAAGGAACACCUGCAACAUCCAGCCCAGUGCCCUGCAUCAGGCCCUGCACUCUGAGGUACUCCCCAGUACGACUCAACACAGACCUAUCAGCAGCUGAACACUGGGAUGCCACUCCAGAGGGAACAGGUAAGUGGUCACUAGGGAUAAAGUGA
rnacentral:lncRNA from 1 species